rnacentral:rRNA from 1 species
CAGUCGCCGCGGGAAUACGAAGGGGGCUAGCGUUGUUCGGAAUUACUGGGCGUAAAGCGCACGUAGGCGGAUAUUUAAGUCAGGGGUGAAAUCCCGCAGCUCAACUGCGGAACUGCCUUUGAUACUGGGUAUCUUGAGUAUGGAAGAGGUUAGUGGAAUUGCGAGUGUAGAGGUGAAAUUCGUAGAUAUUCGCAGGAACACCAGUGGCGAAGGCGGCUAGCUGGUCCAUAACUGACGCUGAGGUGCGAAAGCGUGGGGAGCAAACAGGAUUAGAUACCCCAGUAGUCCCUGUCUCUUAUAC